AUGAUGCAAGGAAAUCUGCCGAGUUCAGUUGGUAGUCUUGCAAAUAGCCUAGGGGCUUUGGUUCUGCACGCAAAUAAGAUGUCUGGUAGCAUACCACCAGAGCUAGGGAACCUCACAAACCUCUCAUUUCUUAGAAUGGAGCAGAAUCAGUUUGCUGGCGAUCUCCCCAGCACAAUUGGAAACCUUGCAAGCUUGACAUACGUGGACUUGUCAUGGAACAGACUUUCCGGACAGAUUCCAAGUUCGAUAGGGAAACUCCGUCAAAUGAACAACCUCUUCUUGCAAGAAAAUAAUUUUAGUGGGCCCAUUCCUAGGACGCUAGGUGAUUGCCGAAGGUUGAUCACUCUCAACCUUUCAUGUAACUCCUUGAGCGAGAGCAUACCAAGAGAACUCUUCUUUCUUGACUCCUUAUCAGCAGGUUUGGAUUUGUCCCACAACCAGCUUUUUGGACAGAUUCCACGGGAGAUUGGUGGCUUGAUUAAUAUAGGGCCACUGAAUUUUUCCAACAACCGUCUUUCUGGGCAUAUUCCAACUGCUCUAGGUGCUUGUAUUCGUCUGGAGUCCCUUCGCUUAGAGGGUAACCUACUUGAUGGUAGAAUUCCUGAGUCUUUCUCCAAUUUGAGAGGCAUUGCCGAGAUUGAUCUCUCUCGAAACAACUUGAGCGGUGAAGUCCCAAACUUUUUCCAGUCCUUCAAUUCUCUGAAGCAUCUCAACUUGUCCUUCAACGACCUCGAGGGUCAAAUGCCACAAGGGGGGAUGUUUCAAAAUUCUAGUGAGGUGUCUGUCCAAGGGAACAGUAUGUUAUGUUCUAGUUCCCCAAUGCUACAACUGCCACUUUGCUUUGCAUCAUCCAGACACCGGCGCACUUGGCGAACUCUAAAGAUAACUGGGAUCAGUGUGGCGGCUCUUGCUUUGGCCUGUUUGUCAUGCGUAGUAUUUAUUCUCUUGAAGAGGAGGAGUAAGAGAUCUAAACAGUCAGAUCAACCAUCAUACACUGAGAUGAAGAGCUUCUCAUAUGCUGAUCUAGCCAAAGCGACAAAUGGUUUCUCUCCAGACAAUUUGGUUGGCUCAGGGGCUUACGGAUCCGUAUACAAGGGUGUACUUGAGUCUGAAACAAAUGGAAUGAUUGCUGUCAAAGUUUUCAAGCUUGACCAACUUGGAGCACCAAAAAGCUUUGUUGCCGAGUGUGAGGCCUUCAGAAACACUCGUCAUCAUAAUCUUGUAAGGGUGAUUUCUGCAUGCUCAACAUGGGACAACAAAGGGAAUGAUUUCAAGGCUCUUAUUAUUGAAUUUAUGGCUAACGGCACCCUAGAGAGCUGGAUUUAUUCAGAAACAAGAAGACCGUUGAGUUUGGGCUCCAGAGUAACAAUAGCAGUGGACAUAGCUGCUGCAUUGGAUUAUUUACAUAACAGUUGCGUGCCCCCUAUAGUCCACUGUGAUUUGAAGCCUAGCAAUGUGCUACUAGAUGAUGACAUGGGUGCCCGUCUCAGUGACUUUGGGUUAGCUAAGUUCCUUCAAAGUCAUAACUCUUCCAGUACUAUUACUUCUACGAGCUUAGCAGGACCAAGAGGAUCAAUUGGGUACAUUGCACCAGAGUAUGGCAUCGGGAACAAGAUCUCAACAGCGGGCGAUGUCUAUAGCUAUGGAAUUAUCAUCCUAGAAAUGCUCACGGGCAAACGCCCAACAGAUGUGUUGUUCAAUAAUGGCCUGAGCCUUCAGAAAUUUGUGGGAAAUGCAUUCCCCGAAAAGAUCCGCGAGAUACUUGAUCCUAAUAUCAUCGGGGACGAAGUUGUGGACCAUGGAAACCAUGCAAUGGUGGGGAUGCUGAGCUGCAUUAUGCAGCUUGUUCAGCUUGGUCUCUCAUGCUCCACGGAGACACCAAAAGAUCGACCGACGAUGCCGGACGUCUACGCAGAAGUCUCCGCAAUCAAACGAGAAUAUUUAGCAUUGCGCGUCAAGGAAUAG
rnacentral:rRNA from 1 species